AGAGUUUGAUCAUGGCUCAGGACGAACGCUGGCGGCGUGCCUAACACAUGCAAGUUGAGCGACGAACCAGGGCUUGCCCUGGGGCAAAGCAGCGAACGGGUGAGUAACACGUGGGUAAUCUGCCCUGCACUCUGGGAUAAGCCUUGGAAACGGGGUCUAAUACCGGAUAUCACAAUCUCUCGCAUGGGGGGUUGUUGAAAGUUUUGGCGGUGCAGGAUGAACCCGCGGCCUAUCAGCUUGUUGGUGGGGUAAUGGCCCACCAAGGCGACGAUGCGUAGCUGGUCUGAGAGGAUGAUCAGCCACACUGGGACUGAGACACGGCCCAGACUCCUACGGGAGGCAGCAGUAGGGAAUCUUGCGCAAUGGGGGAAACCCUGACGCAGCGACGCCGCGUGCGGGAUGAAGGCCUUCGGGUCGUAAACCGCUUUCAGCAGGGACGAAAUUGACGGUACCUGCAGAAGAAGGCCCGGCCAACUACGUGCCAGCCGCGGCGGUAAUAC
rnacentral:rRNA from 1 species